rnacentral:rRNA from 1 species
UACGUAGGGUGCAAGCGUUGUCCGGAAUUAUUGGGCGUAAAGAGCUCGUAGGCGGUUUGUCGCGUCUGCUGUGAAAAACCCGAGGCUCAACCUCGCGCCUGCAGUGGGUACGGGCAGACUAGAGUGCGGUAGGGGAGAUUGGAAUUCCUGGUGUAGCGGUGGAAUGCGCAGAUAUCAGGAGGAACACCGAUGGCGAAGGCAGAUCUCUGGGCCGUAACUGACGCUGAGGAGCGAAAGCGUGGGGAGCGAACAGG